rnacentral:rRNA from 1 species
UGCCAGCCGCCGCGGUAACACGGGGGGCGCAAGCGUUAUUCGGAAUUAUUGGGCGUAAAGGGCGCGCAGGCGGUCUUGUCAGUCAGGUGUGAAAGCCCGGGGCUCAACCCCGGAUGGUCACUUGAAACAGCAAGACUUGAGUACUGGAGAGGAAAGCGGAAUUCCUGGUGUAGAGGUGAAAUUCGUAGAUAUCGAGAGGAACACCAGUGGCGAAGGCGAGUUCCUGGACAAUUCCUGACACUGAGGCACGAAAGCUAGGGUAGCAAACAGGAUUAGAUA